UUGACCUCCGGAUCAGGUAGGGAUACCCGCUGAACU
rnacentral:rRNA from 1 species